rnacentral:sRNA from 1 species
UUUUCCAUUAGCGCAGGCUCUUUGGAGCCAUUCCCCUAGGCCCUAAAACCUUACGUUUUGGGCCUUUUUU